AAAAAGGCUUUUUUAAAAGCCAUUCCAUGUAACAGUUCACUUAAGAU
rfam:Patagioenas fasciata monilis isolate BTP2013 Sc31e1R_140, whole genome shotgun sequence.